rnacentral:rRNA from 1 species
GACGAACGCUGGCGGCGUGCUUAACACAUGCAAGUCGAGCGGAGCGGCGAACGGGUGAGUAACGCGUGAGUAACUGCCCCCCUCUCUGGGAUAAGAGUUGGAAACGGAUACUAAUACCGGAUAGUGGGGGAUGACGUGCGUCCUAUCAGCUGGUUGGUGGGGUAGUGGCUUACCAAGGCGACGACGGAUAGCCGGCCUGAGAGGGCGACCGGCCACAGUGGGUAUAGAUACGGGCCGUACGGCUACUGGCGGCAGGAGCGGAGAAUAUUGCACGAUGGGCGAAACCCUGGUGCAGCGACGUCGCGUGGGGGAUGACGGUCUUCGGGUUGGAAACCGCUUGCAGCCAUGACGCGGUAGUGGCAGAGGAAGCACCGGCUAACUACGUGCCAGCAGCCGCGGUAAUUC